rnacentral:misc_RNA from 1 species
GGUUGGAUCAUUAACAAAUUUUUAAAAAGGUUAGAGUCAACCAACUGGGCGGUUUCAGCUUUCUUGUUGGUUGGUUCUUAUCCUUUCAACCCUAAUGUGAACCUGUUUAUUGUCUCUUGGCGAGUUAGGAAUUUUUUUUGUAGUGAAGCAACUUUACUAAAGAACGGAUGAACUCAUUUUAUGUUUUCAAGCGAAGUAUCUGCAGUUUGAACGCUGAGCUGAAAAAAAGUAACGACCUUGCCAAACCUAAACUUGAACUUUUGUUUUAAUAACUAGUCUUGAAUUUAAAUUAUAUUUUAAUUUAAAACAACUUUUGACAACGGAUCUCUAGGCUCUCGCAACGAUGAAGAACGCAGCGAAAUGCGAUAAGUAAUGUGAAUUGCAGAAUUCCGUGAAUCAUUAAAUCUUUGAACGCACAUUGCGCUCUUUGGUAUUCCGAAGAGCAUAUCUGUUUGAGAAUCAGUUUAAUUAUCAAGCCUUUUUUGCUUGCUUUUAUGCAAGUGAAUUAGGGUUGGAUUUGGGACAUAUUAAGCUUGCAAAGCUUCGAUUGACCUUUAAAAUAUCUUUUUCUUUAUCUUUCUUUGAGAUUUAUGAUCAAAAGGCAUGACCAAUGAACGCAAGUUCUAUUGAUUGCUGAUAAUGAUUGUUAAAGCUUUGAGUUGAUUUUAUGGGAGAAAUUAAAAAACUUUAAACCACACGAAGGAAAGCUUUUUUGCUUUCUUUUAAGACUUGAUCUCAAAUCAGAUAAGACUACCCGCUGAACUUAAGCAUAUCAAUAAGCGGAGGAAAAGAAACUAACAAGGAUUCCCCUAGUAACGGCGAGUGAAGCGGGAAUAGCUCAAAUUUUAAAUCUCCUUGGUUUACCAAGGCGAAUUGUAGUUUAAAGAAGUAUUUUCAGAAAUAACUCAUGAUUAAGUUCCUUGGGAUAGGGCAUCAUAGAAGGUGAGAAUCCUGUAUGGUUGUGAGGGACUUUCUAAUGUGAUAUACUUUCAAAGAGUCGGAUUGUUUGGGAAUGCAGUCCAAAAUGGGUGGUAAAUACCAUCUAAAGCUAAAUAUUGGCGAGAGACCGAUAGCGAACAAGUACCGUGAGGGAAAGAUGAAAAGAACUUUGAAAAGAGAGUUAAAAGUACGUGAAAUUGUCAAAAGGGAAACACUUGAAACCAGUCUUGCGGUUGAAAUCUCAACUACUCUAACGAGCUAGCCUAUGUUUUCAAUCACAGGUCAAUAUCAGUUCGGUUUGAAGUAUAAAGCUUGAAGAAGGUGGCCCCUUGGGGUGUUUAUAGCUUCAAGUAAUGCUUUGGACCGGAUUGAGGAAUGCAGUGCAGUCUUGGGUACCCAGUCGCUAGGUGAUGCUUUUACGUAGACAACUUGUUGAUUACGCAAGAGAUAAGCCUAAUCGGUUGGCUUGCCACACCUGUGCUUAGGAUAUUGACAUAAUGGUUUUAAAUGACCCGUCUUGAAACACGGACCAAGGAGUCUAACACAUACGCGAGUAUUUGGGUGGUAAACCCGGAAUGCGCAAUGAAAGUACUAAGGUGGGACUCGCAAGAUGCACCAUCGACCGGUCUGGAUAUUUAUUGAUAGAUCUGAGUAAGAGCGUAUUUGUUAGGACCCGAAAGAUGGUGAACUAUGCCUGAAUAGGGUGAAGCCAGAGGAAACUCUGGUGGAGGCUCGUAGCGAUUCUGACGUGCAAAUCGAUCGUCAAAUUUGGGUAUAGGGGCGAAAGACUAAUCGAACCAUCUAGUAGCUGGUUCCCUC